rnacentral:rRNA from 1 species
GCAGUCGAGCGGGGUGAUGUAGCUUGCUACAUUACCUAGCGGCGGACGGGUGAGUAAUGCUUAGGAAUCUGCCUAUUAGUGGGGGACAACAUUCCGAAAGGAAUGCUAAUACCGCAUACGUCCUACGGGAGAAAGCAGGGGAUCUUCGGACCUUGCGCUAAUAGAUGAGCCUAAGUCAGAUUAGCUAGUUGGUGGGGUAAAGGCCUACCAAGGCGACGAUCUGUAGCGGGUCUGAGAGGAUGAUCCGCCACACUGGGACUGAGACACGGCCCAGACUCCUACGGGAGGCAGCAGUGGGGAAUAUUGGACAAUGGGCGCAAGCCUGAUCCAGCCAUGCCGCGUGUGUGAAGAAGGCCUUUUGGUUGUAAAGCACUUUAAGCGAGGAGGAGGCUACUUGGAUUAAUACUCUAGGAUAGUGGACGUUACUCGCAGAAUAAGCACCGGCUAACUCUGUGCCAGCAGCCGCGGUAAUACAGAGGGUGCGAGCGUUAAUCGGAUUUACUGGGCGUAAAGCGUGCGUAGGCGGCUUUUUAAGUCGGAUGUGAAAUCCCUGAGCUUAACUUAGGAAUUGCAUUCGAUACUGGGAAGCUAGAGUAUGGGAGAGGAUGGUAGAAUUCCAGGUGUAGCGGUGAAAUGCGUAGAGAUCUGGAGGAAUACCGAUGGCGAAGGCAGCCAUCUGGCCUAAUACUGACGCUGAGGUACGAAAGCAUGGGGAGCAAACGGGAUUAGAUACCCUGGUAGUCCAUGCCGUAAACGAUGUCUACUAGCCGUUGGGGCCUU